rnacentral:lncRNA from 10 species
GGAUUUAUUAUCAUAGAACUGACAUAUUUUCAAAACAAUGCAUUAAAAUGAACUAAAAACUGUAACCACAGAAUUGAGAAAUCAAGACCAAAUAUUCAGCAUACCUAAGAGUUUUAAGUACUUAAAUACGAGAAAGCCAGUAUAAUAAAUAAUGACAGCUAAGAUUUUUUGAAGACUUACUAGAUGCCAGGUAUAUUAUCUGGCAUAAUAACUAGUAUAUUAUCUCAUUUCAUCAGCUUUUGAGAUUGGUACUAUCAUUACCUCAACACAAAUGAGGGAAAUGAGGCUAAAGAGAAUAAGUAAGUGGUAGUACUUGGAUUCAAAUUCUGAUCUAUCUGACCACAAAACACAUGCUUGUUUGAUAAAAUGUUAAUAUCCUUAUGCCCAUUAAAUUUUAUAUACUUUUAUUAUGAUUUUAAAAGUAAAACUUGUGCCUUUGGGCACAAGAAAAAAAAACAAAAUUUAAAAAAUACAAACAGAAAAAGCAUUAAAAUUUUGUCAUGUUUCCUUCUAGCAGUUCACUACUGUGGGACAAAAAGUAAAUGAGAUGUACAUACAACGGGAAUCUGUGGUGAUACUUGAGCAAUGCAAGAAAAUAUAAUGGAAAUUGAAAUCAGAACUAGGUUCAAAUUUACAUGGCUCUGCCAUUUUCGAGUAAUGUGUCCUCGAUCAUGUUAAAGUUGUGGCACUAAGGUUUUUUUCCUCUAAGAAAAUAAAAAUUAAUAAUGUCUAUUUCUUAAGGUUUUAUAGGGAUCAAAUGAUAUUUUGUAUUUCUAUGCUCCAUACAAUACAUUCAUUGUGAUAUUUAGUAAAUACAUAUCUUCUCCAUUCAGAAGAAUGAUUUAAAUUUAAAUUUACUUAAGAUUUCCAGAGUUCACCUGUAUGAACUUCUAGUUAACCCAUGCCAAAUUACUUAAAUCAAAAAAUCUAGAGGCUGAAGCCAAGUUCAUCAUGAGUUGUAAAAUCAUACCUAAAGGAUUAUGCAAGGGGCUACUAAAAAUAAGUCUGGAGAUAUUCAGUCAAGAAAGGUUUUGUGCAGAAGAAUCAGAUACAGACAAGAAUGAGAUUUUACAGUAGGCAGAAGGAGGCAGCCAAAGAAUGGUUUUUCAUGCAAGAAACUGAGGACUUUUCAGGCCUGGUUCUAAGGAAAAGACUGAAGGCUUCACUAUAUGAAAAAAGAAAAAAGAAAAGUAAAGAAAAGAACCCAAGGUUUAUAUCAAUCUGUUAGAAUACCUGCAAUAUUAAAUACAGUAAUUUCAAAGACUUCACAGCAACAUUUACAUGAAAAGAUUUGUAUGACACAUAUGAAAUUUUAAAAGCAGAGCAUAAAAUUGUAUAUAUACUAUAGUCCCAACUAUAUAAACUGUUGAUUUAUAAGGAUUAGGAGUAAACAGAACCAGAAAAAAAAUGAAACAGUAUGUUAAGACGGUGAGAUUGUUUUCUUUUUUUUUUUUGUUCAAUUCUCUUUUGUUAUAAAAUUGUGCAGUAAAUAAAAAGUUAAGAAAUACUAGUCUAUUGAGAUGAAGGAGGGUUGAGCAAGAUCACAUCAGAAAAGAUCAGAAAGGUGCAAUCCUCACUAAGCAUGCUGAGUGGGGAUAGAGUUUCCAGGAAAUAUGCACAAGGUUAUCUACUGAGCUCACUGUCCCUUACUCCUGAAGUUAUGCCGGGGCAGAGAAAGAGAUGAGAACCUUGAGAAGUCCUGUGGAUGCAGCUGGAUACAAAAGCUGUUACCAGCCUACUAAAAUACCCAAACUGAGAAACCUCAAACUGGAAUGGCCUCUACUGUGCCAAACUAUACCACAUACAGUUUGUGAUCCUCACAUCUUGGUGUGUGAAAAAGAACUUCAAAGAGGCUUGUUUGAUGGAUUCAGGACCUCAUAGAAACUCAUGGAGCUCGUGGCUGUCUUGUGCUAAUAUUCUUUGCUAACAUUUAGUUAAUUUUGUUGCACGCAUGACAUGUGAUUUGUGUGAAUCUGCUUUGACAGUUUGAUCUUUUUUUAAAAAAUUAGUUGACAAAAAUUGCACAUAUUUAUCCUGUACAACAUAUUGUUUUGAAAUUGUGGAAGAGCUAAAUUGAAUGAAUUAACAUAUGAAUUAUCGUACAUUUUUUGUGAUGAGAACACUUAAAAUCUACUCUCUUAGCAACUUUCAAGAAUACAAUGCAUUGUUAUUAACUAUAGUUGCCAUGUUGUAAAAAAGAUCUCAUGAAUUUAUUCUUCCUACCUCAACUGAAAUUUUGCAUCCUUUGACCAACAACUCCCCAACAAUUACCCCCAACCUUGCCCCUGGUAACCACCAUUCCACUCUUUACUUCUGAGUUCAAAGUUUUUAGAUUUCACAUAUAACAGAUCAUGUGAUAUUUGUCUUUCUGUGCCUGGCUUAUUUUACUUAAUGUCCUUCAGGUUCAUCCGUGUUGUCACAAAUAAUGGGAUCUCUUUCUUUUUUUUAAAGAUAAAUAGUAUUCUAUUGUAUCUGUAUACCACAUUUAAAAAAACUAUUCAUUUGCUGAUAAGCAUUUAGGUUGAUUCCAUAUUUGGGCUAUUGUCAAUAAUUAUGCAAAAAACAUGAGACUGAAUUAUAACAAAUUGUAUUAAGUAUCACAUUUAGGGCAAUUUAAUCUUAGAAGUAUGACCCCAAUAAAAUUACUUAGC